rnacentral:rRNA from 1 species
GACAGAGGGUGCAAACGUUGCUCGGAAUUACUGGGCGUAAAGCGCGCGUAGGCGGCUUUGCAAGUCGGGUGUGAAAUCCCCAGGCUUAACCUGGGAACUGCAUCCGAUACUGGAUGGCUUGAAUCCGGGAGAGGGAUGCAGAAUUCCAGGUGUAGCGGUGAAAUGCGUAGAUAUCUGGAGGAAUACCGGUGGCGAAGGCGGCAUCCUGGACCGGCAUUGACGCUGAGGAGCGAAAGCUAGGGGAGCAAACGGG